GGCUCGUCCGGGCAGGUAUCGUUGUACCUGUUACCUAUCAUUUGUCGUUUAACCAGUAUUAUUAUUGACAUCUGGAGGCUUCGUGCGGGCAGGUACCGUGUCGGUUGUACCUAUUUUUUCGUCACCUUGAAGAAGCCAUUGAACUAGCCAGAGCCUGCAUUUUUUUUUGUUCACUGGUUGACCUCUACACACGAUUGUGACUGUUACACACCGAAGUUAUUGUGUUAUCAAAGUCAGUAAUGUAUUCAAGAAAGAAUCUGAAUAAAACUUUGUGCUUUAACAUCGUUUACAUUCACGUAGACCCCGCCUCCUAGAGAUGUGGAGACAGCAUUAGGUGGAAUCAACUCUAUAGAAAAUGACAUACCAUUCAAAGAAACAAAUUGACAUUUCUACUAGAACCGUAUUUGUUUAAAACCUAAUUCGUCAUAUGUCAUUGACUAAUUUGGACUUGCAGCUACUUCGUGUAUACCGAGGUCAUUGCGUCACUCACCAUUUAAAGAGACAUCACCAUUUAAAGGGACAUCACCAUUUAAUGAGACAUCACCAUUUAAAGGGGCAUCACCAUUUAAUGAGACAUCACCAUUUAAAGGGACAUCACCAUUUAAUCAGACACUACUACUACUACUACUUACUUACUAUUGGAUUAUUGGAUUUAGAGAUAUCACCAUUUAAUGAGACAUCACCAUUUAAUGAGACACAUCACCAUUUAAUGAGACACUAUUACUACUACUACUCGCUUACUAUUGGAUUAUUGCGUUUAGAGACAUCACCAUUUAAAGAGGAAUCACCAUUUAAAGAGACACUACUACUACUACUACUCGCUUACUAUUGGAUUAUUGGAUUUAGAGACAUCACCAUUUAAAGAGGAAUCACCAUUUAAAGAGACAUCACCAUUUAAAGGGACAUCACCAUUUAAAGAGACACUACUACUACUACUACUACUACUCACUUACUAUUGGAUUAUUCUACAUGAAUGCAAGUACUCAAGUAAUCGUGAAUUAUCUACCUUUGUUACAUUGAUGUUGGAUUAUACUGGACUUUAGCGCAUCGAUGCCCUCUUGGUCAUCGUUGAACGUAAAGGAAAUAGCAAGUGCCUGUAUCACUGUAUCUAACCUAUGGGACUGACUUGAUUAUUUGUAUAUCUGGUAUCUUUUUGGAUUAUUGUUGCACUACAUGACUAGAUAAUCUUUUCUUUUGUAUUCACCCAUUAUUAUUACUAUUAGUAUUAUAUCAAUGUUUGAAUAAUUUUGUUUUGUAUUUAUUUCAUUCUCUAAAUCUGCUGUGAGUCAUAAAGCGUUUACAAGGAGGCCGAACAGCGACCUGACACUUCAAAAGUUCUACAUUCUUAAAGUAACACCGUCAUGUGGAUAGAGUUGUCAUUUCUUUCCUGGCAUCAGACACAGAUAAGUUGAGUUUUCUUUUGUCUGUUGUAUCGGGCAUUCAGGGUCGAGUGUACAUUGCCUUUUCAGUAGGGGAGAUAAAGGUACAUCCGAAAUAGCUUGCUGUGUGUUGCACCAAGUAGAUGGCUUCCUUCCGGUAAAGUGCAGAGAGCUGAUACAUAGAGAGUAGCAUUACUUCAUUAGUAGCGUGAGUGUCCAACGCCUAGACAGAUACCUCUGAUACCCAGGAGGAUGCACAAUCCAGUUUGACCACACACCACUGUCUACUAGCUGAUACACUGUCAAGACUAACCUAGCAUCUUAGCAUAGUUGUAAUUGUCAGAAUUCAUCUUUUUUUUCCCAAUACAAAGUCAAACGCGGUUUUAACUAUUAGAGAUGGUAUCUUGUCGUAUAUUACUGCUGUUUACAAAUUAAAUAUUAACGUGGGAAGGACUAUGCCUGCCGACUUCAAAUUGUAAUUUAACUCUCCAUGCCACUAUUUUUUUCUCAUUUAUUCUCUUCUCUCUUUCCCUUUGUUGUAAAUAGUGUCAUAUGAGUGAUAGCCUUAGCUGGACAUAUUUCUUUUGUUAGGUUAAUAAGGGCUAUUUCACUUUAGUGUGUAUUAUAAACAUUUGUUUGUAGAUAUAUAUGUUAUAUAUAUAUGUAUAUAAGUAUGUGUAUGACACAGUGUGUGUAUGCAUGUAUAUUUAUGUAUAUAUUUGAAUGACUGUUAUCUAAUAACAGUCAUAUCGUGAGAGGGGGGAUUUCAGGGAGAGGUAUGGCGAGAAUGAAUGUUAGUUUAAUAUUUUGGUGUGAUUGUUAUACCCCUUGUUAUGAAUGCGAAGUGUUACACGUGUUGUGAACUGAGUGAUUAAGUCUUCGUUGAAUGUGCGAGAGAGUGUGUUAGUCAGUAAGGUCUUUCUCCCUGUCCAGGAAGGUUGGACGUUUACUUCCUGGACUGGUAUUUAUGCAUUUAUAUAUUUAUAAGUUGAUGGACUGGUGUUUUGUGUAUUUCAUAAGAGUGAUAUAAUUGUGUGCUUUAUUAAGUAUUAAAGUAUUAUCGAUAUUCGUGAAUAUAA